rnacentral:lncRNA from 1 species
AGUUUCAUAUGCAAAGCAUGCAUCAGCCACAUCCAUGCUAUCUCCUAAAGCAGUCAUUCUGAAACCCAAUCUGGGGACAGUGCAGACUAAAUAAAAUUUCAUUUUGAUUUGGCCUCCCGCUGCGAAUGGGACUGCUUUGUCUCAGCCGACAGAACCAGCAAGCCAGAAAGGGAAUGAAGACAUUUGGAGAAGAAGCGUUUACUGAAAGGAGAUUCCUGGGCUGGAGGAAAACCAUGAUCUACAGUUCAUGUUGACAGAUAUUGUAUUUUUGGUCCUAGAUCUGACUUUUGAAAUGACUUAUCACAAAUUCAAAUUUAGCAAUCAUGAGUGAAGUACCCACGAUGUGCUAAGCAUCUACCUCUGCAGAUAGAAGAACACUUACUGUUCCUGAGCAUGGGAGGGAAUAGAAGUUCCUGGGUCCUGGCCUCACCUCAUCAGACGAGGGAACUGAGCUGUCAAAACUAAGUGACUUGAUUGAGGCCAUGCAGCUGGCGAGGGGAGGACCAGGAUCUGAACCCAACUGGGUCUCCCAAGCCUGGGCCACUGAACCAUUUCACCUCUUGGAAAAACUUAAUGGUCAGAGUGGCCCACCCAGUCCAUGGACAGCAUGGAGGAUAAACUGCUUCCCUAGAAAUCCUCUCCAGCAUUCUUGCCACCACGACUUUGGGACACAUUGACCAUGAGGAGGAGCUGGUCAAUGAUGGACAGGAGUCCAGAUUAGCAGAGAUGUGGUAAUAAGGACACCGAUGCCUAAAUACUUGAAAUAUCCAAUAGGAAGCAUUCCACCUUUGUGCAAAUGCGAACCACAUCUCACCAAGUUCAGGCCAAGGCUGCCACCGGUGACGUUUUGGAAAAGAAAAAAAAAAGCGGGGGGAGAGGAGAGAAACAGAGAAGCAAGGAAUGCAGAAGAGAGCAGAGGCCACAAAAACAGCAGCAACGUGUCCUGUGUAUUCUGUUUCCUUGUAAAACUAUGAAGCAUGUUAAGGAGAUACUUCAUUUUUUGAGGAUUCAUACUCUUGUUUAUAUUAUAAUAAAAACAACCCAUGUUCUUUCUAAAAAUUUAGGCAAUGCCUUCGUGCACAUAAAAGUAAAACAAAAUCACCUGUAAUCCUACCACACGCAGAUCAGCACUUGCUAAUCUUUUCACAGGGAUCCUAAGAAUAUCCUAUUCUCUAUAGAAUAUAGUUGAUUUAUGUUACCUAAUAACUAACUGUUAACCAUUUUAAAAUUCUUCAGUUUUACAUUAUGCUAGAAAAAAGGAGCCGUCACUCUACGUGACAUUUCUGUAUAUUGGUUUAUUCAUUCAAUAAACAUUUUUUAAGUACCU